rnacentral:rRNA from 1 species
CCUACGUGUCGCAGCAGUGGGGAAUAUUGGACAAUGGGCGAAAGCCUGAUCCAGCCAUGCCGCGUGUGUGAAGAAGGCCUUCGGGUUGUAAAGCACUUUCAGUGGGGAAGAAAGCCUUGGGGCUAAUACCCUCGAGGAAGGACAUCACCCACAGAAGAAGCACCGGCUAACUCCGUGCCAGCAGCCGCGGUAAUACGGAGGGUGCGAGCGUUAAUCGGAAUUACUGGGCGUAAAGCGCGCGUAGGCGGUCUGAUAAGCCGGUUGUGAAAGCCCCGGGCUCAACCUGGGAACGGCAUCCGGAACUGUCAGGCUAGAGUGCAGGAGAGGAAGGUAGAAUUCCCGGUGUAGCGGUGAAAUGCGUAGAGAUCGGGAGGAAUACCAGUGGCGAAGGCGGCCUUCUGGACUGACACUGACGCUGAGGUGCGAAAGCGUGGGUAGCAAACAGGAUUAGAUACCCCAGUAGUC